UUUGGUGGCGAUAGCGAAGAGGUCACACCCGUUCCCAUACCGAACACGGAAGUUAAGCUCUUCAGCGCCGAUGGUAGUCGGGGGUUUCCCCCUGUGAGAGUAGGACGCCGC
rnacentral:rRNA from 1 species